rnacentral:rRNA from 1 species
UACGUAGGGUGCAAGCGUUGUCCGGAAUUAUUGGGCGUAAAGAGCUCGUAGGCGGUUUGUCGCGUCGAAUGUGAAAACCCGGGGCUCAACUCCGGAUCUGCGGUGGGUACGGGCAGACUAGAGUGAUGUAGGGGAGACUGGAAUUCCUGGUGUAGCGGUGAAAUGCGCAGAUAUCGGGAAGAACACCCGUGGCGAAGGCGGCUCUCUGGAACGCAACUGACGCUGAGACGCGAAAGCGUGGGGAGCAAACAGG